rnacentral:rRNA from 1 species
GGCGGACGGGUGAGUAACGCGUGGGUAACCUGCCUUGUACAGGGGGGGAUAACAGUCAGAAAUGACUGCUAAUACCGCAUAAGCGCACAGGACCGCAUGGUCCGGUGUGAAAAACUCCGGUGGUAUAAGAUGGACCCGCGUUGGAUUAGCUAGUUGGUGAGGUAACGGCCCACCAAGGCGACGAUCCAUAGCCGGCCUGAGAGGGUGAACGGCCACAUUGGGACUGAGACACGGCCCAG